UACGAAGGGGGCGAGCGUUGUUCGGAUUUACUGGGCGUAAAGGGCGCGCAGGCGGUCACUUUUGUCGAGUGUGAAAGCCCCGGGCUUAACCUGGGAACUGCGCUCGAAACGGGAUGACUAGAGAUCGGGAGAGGAGAGUGGAAUUCCCAGUGUAGAGGUGAAAUUCGUAGAUAUUGGGAAGAACACCGGUGGCGAAGGCGGCUCUCUGGACCGAUACUGACGCUGAGGCGCGAAAGCGUGGGGAGCAAACAGG
rnacentral:rRNA from 1 species